rnacentral:misc_RNA from 1 species
GAUGAAGAACGCAGCGAAAUGCGAUAAGUAAUGUGAAUUGCAUAAUUCAGUGAAUCAUCGAAUCUUUGAACUCACAUUGCGCCCGCCAGUAUUCUGGCGGGCAUGCCUGUUCGAGCGUCAUUUCAACCAUCAAGCCCUGCUUGCGUUGGGGUCCUGCGGCUGCCCGCAGGCCCUGAAAACCAGUGGCGGGCUCGCUAGUCACACCGAGCGCAGUAAUACAUCUCGCUUUGGGCGUGCGGCGGGUUCUUGCCGUUAAACACCCCCUUUUUACCAAGGUUGACCUCGGAUCAGGUAGGAAUACCCGCUGAACUUAAGCAUAUCAAUAAGCGGAGGA